rnacentral:rRNA from 1 species
UACGUAGGGUGCAAGCGUUAUCCGGAAUUAUUGGGCGUAAAGAGCUCGUAGGCGGUUUGUCGCGUCUGCCGUGAAAGUCCGGGGCUCAACUCCGGAUCUGCGGUGGGUACGGGCAGACUAGAGUGAUGUAGGGGAGACUGGAAUUCCUGGUGUAGCGGUGAAAUGCGCAGAUAUCAGGAGGAACACCGAUGGCGAAGGCAGUUCUCUGGGCCGUAACUGACGCUGAGGAGCGAAAGCGUGGGGAGCGAACAGG